rnacentral:rRNA from 1 species
CCUACGGGUGGCAGCAGUGGGGAAUAUUGCGCAAUGGGCGAAAGCCUGACGCAGCGACGCCGCGUGAGGGAUGAAGGUCUUCGGAUCGUAAACCUCUGUCAGCAGGGAAGAACGGUCACUGUGCUAAUCAGCAGUGAAUUGACGGUACCUGCAAAGGAAGCACCGGCUAACUCCGUGCCAGCAGCCGCGGUAAUACGGAGGAUGCGAGCGUUAUCCGGAUUUAUUGGGUUUAAAGGGUGCGCAGGCGGAUUUUUAAGUCAGCGGUCAAAUCGUGGGGCUCAACCCCAUCCAGCCGUUGAAACUGGGGAUCUAGAGUGUGCGAGAGGUAUGCGGAAUGCGUGGUGUAGCGGUGAAAUGCAUAGAUAUGACGAAGAACCCCGAUUGCGAAGGCAGCUUGCUGCAGCGGAACUGACGCUGAUGCUCGAAAGCGCGGGUAUCGAACAGGAUUAGAUACCCUUGUAGUC